ACAUAAUAAUUGACCUCACAGAACGUUAUAGAUUCACUUUCACAUUUUUUAGCCAUACCAUCAGCUAUAAAUCCUUUCCUAUAGGAAGUUCGGCUCAUGUAAAUAUGUAGCAUCUGACUCAUCAUCUUGCAUGAACUUGACUAGUAAACAUCCACCGUCGACUUUGAUAACCACUCUAUUUAUUAUGGCUUUUGUAGAUGGUGGUGAUUAUUAGAUGAUUAGUAUAUAAUGCUUGGUAACAUGCACCAAUGAUCCAGUACAACAUUGCCUUAGACAAGUUGAGAUAUAUAUGCCUAGCAAUUAAAUAGAUCAACUCUGUGUGACUAACCAAAUUACUUGUGUAGGUACUGCCUCACAUCAGAAUCGUAACUCCUACCCAAACGCACAAAAUUACAUAAUCGCCAUUUGUUCUACAAACAAAUAUACCUCAAAUGGUGUCCUUCUUAUGAGUAUACAUACAUCAAGAGAUAAGUGUAUAAGAAAAAAUCGAAAUCAUGAACAUUGAGACUAUUACAAAAAUCAUGAGAAAAGUGGGAAAACUUAUGACGCAUCCAAAAUCACAGUGCACAAAUUGUGGCAAUUGGUUGGACCCUGGUGAAACCUGUGGAUGUCGUUGAAUCACAUAUUUAGUGCGACAAACGACAAACGUAUAUAUUUUUUGGUAUCCAGUCUGGUCACUUGCAUUUGCAAAGUCGUCCAUACGAUUUAGAAAAUAUGUAUUGAUAAUUAAUUCGAACGAAAAAAUCUGGAUAAUGUACGUCACAAAAUAUACGUUUGUCAAAUAUUACGAGGACUUUCCUGAUGAUGGAGUGAAAACUAGAAAAAGCUUUUGAAUUUAUGCGUCAUGUAUCUAAACUUUAUGAAUUUAUCAUAUAUUUAUGAAUAUGUAACAAGUCUUGUGACCGGACUUUAUUGGGUAUCAAUAAAUCUAUAUCAACAAUGUAUCACA